rnacentral:rRNA from 1 species
UACGUAGGUGACAAGCGUUGUCCGGAUUUACUGGGCGUAAAGAGCGCGCAGGCGGUCGAUCAAGUCGAGUGUGGAAAGCCCCCGGCUCAACUGGGGAGGGUCAUUCGAUACUGAUCGACUCGAAGGCAGGAGAGGGUAGUGGAAUUCCCGGUGUAGUGGUGAAAUGACGUAGAUAUUGGGAGGAACACCAGUGGCGAAGGCGACUACCUGGCCUGUUCUUGACGCUGAGG